rnacentral:rRNA from 1 species
AUGGUCCUGUCGGAGCCGACGCCUUGGCUGCCGUCGGAGCCAGAGACGACCAUCGACCUGACGCCGUGGGACCUCCGAAUGAUCACCGUGGACAUGGAGGGCGCCGAGUUCGUCCACGCCGUGGCUCCCGGUGUCACCGUGGCCGACGUCGUCGCUCCGCUGUCCACACCGGGGGGUGGUCCAGACUGCUUCCUCCAUUUCUCCGCGGAGAGCGUAAAGAAGCUCAAAGCGAAGGCGAACGCCGAGGCGUCCGGCACCGGCACCGCCACCAUCUCCUCCUUGCAGGCGCUGCUGGCGCACCUGUGGGUCGCGGUGUGCCGAGCGAGGAGGCUGGCGCCGGACCAGAGCACAACGUACGUGCUCCUCUUGGAUCCCGGGGCCGCGUGCACGGCAUACCGGUGGGCUACGCGGGCAACACCGUGGCACGCGCCGAGGCGACGUCCACGGCUGGCGUCAUGGGCGCGUAACCUGACGUUCGCAUGCACGUCGGCGCCACCCCCGGCGCUGGUGGUGACCGGGAACUCGCCACGGUUCGACGUGUACGGGAACGACUUCGGGUGGGGCCAGCCAGUGGCCGUGCGGCGCAGCUCGGCGAACAAGAUGGACGGGACGGCGACGGUGUUCCAAGGUAGGGGCGGCGGUGGGAGCAUGGCGCUGCAGGUGUGCCUUGCGCCGGAGGUGCUCGCCAGACGAGUCACCGACGACGAGUUCAUGAGCGCGGUCACAGCGUGA